rnacentral:rRNA from 1 species
UACGUAGGUGGCAAGCGUUGUUCGGAAUUAUUGGGCGUAAAGGGCUCGUAGGUGGCCAACUAAGUCAGACGUGAAAUCCCUCGGCUUAACCGGGGAACUGCGUCUGAUACUGGAUGGCUUGAGUUUGGGAGAGGGACGCGGAAUUCCAGGUGUAGCGGUGAAAUGCGUAGAUAUCUGGAGGAACACCGGUGGCGAAGGCGGCGUCCUGGACCAACACUGACACUGAGGAGCGAAGGCCAGGGGAGCAAACGGG